ACACUGACGACAUGGUUCUACAAUCAACUUUCGAUGGUAGGAUAGAGGCCUACCAUGGUGGUAACGGGUAACGGGGUGUUAGGGCACGACACCGGAGAGGGAGCCUGAGAAACGGCUACCACAUCCAAGGAUGGCAGCAGGCGCGCAAAUUACCCAAUCCCGACACGGGGAGGUAGUGACAAUAAAUAACAAUACGGGGUUCUUUCGGAUUUCGUAAUUGGAAUGAGUACAAUUUAAAUCUCUUAACGAGGAACAAUUGGAGGGCAAGUCUGGUGCCAGCAGCCGCGGUAAUUCCAGCUCCAAUAGCGUAUAUUAAAGUUGCUGCAGUUAAAAAGCUCGUAGUUGAAUUUCGGGACCAAUAUGUCGGUCGUGCCUCGGUACGUACUGGCAUCGUUGGUUCCUCCCUUCUGACGAACCAUGAUGUCAUUCAUUUGGUGUCGUGGGGAAUCAGGACUGUUACUUCGAAAAAAAUUAGAGUGUUUAAAGCAGGCUCACGCUUGAAUACAUUAGCAUGGAAUAAUGAAAUAGGACGUUUGAUUCUAUUUUGUUGGUUUCUAGGAUCGACGUAAUGAUUAAUAGGGAUAGUUGGGGGCAUUAGUAUUCAAUUGUCAGAGGCGAAAUUCUUGGAUUUAUUGAAGACUAACUACUGCGAAAGCAUUUGCCAAGGAUGUUUUCAUUAAUCAAGAACGAAAGUUAGGGGAUCGAAGACGAUCAGAUACCGUCCUAGUCUCAACCAUAAACGAUGCCGACCAGGGAUCGACGGAUGUUGCUUUUUGGUCUCUGUCAACACCUUAUUGGAAACCAAAGUGUUUGGGUUCAGACCAAG
rnacentral:rRNA from 1 species